GAUGAAGAACGUAGUGAAAUGCGAUAAGUAGUGUGAAUUGCAGAAUUUCCGUGAGUCAUCGAAUCUUUGAACGCACAUUGCGCCCACUGGUAUUCCGGUGGGCAUGCCUGUUCGAGCGUCAUUAUCCUCCCUCAAACCCCGGGUUUGGUGUUGGACCCAAGUUGUGUGAACAACUGGUCUCAAAGACAAUGACGGCGUCCGUGGGACCCUCGGUGCAACGAGCUUUUAGGAGCACGCGCCGAGUUGCAAGGACCUUCCGGGCCGGUCUCCUUUACUAUUUUACAAGGUUGACCUCGGAUCAGGUAGGAAUACCCGCUGAACUUAAGCAUAUCAAUAAGCGGAGGA
rnacentral:misc_RNA from 1 species